GAUGAACGCUGGCGGCGUGCCUAAUACAUGCAAGUCGAGCGAACAGACGAGGAGCUUGCUCCUCUGACGUUAGCGGCGGACGGGUGAGUAACACGUGGAUAACCUACCUAUAAGACUGGGAUAACUUCGGGAAACCGGAGCUAAUACCGGAUAAUAUAUUGAACCGCAUGGUUCAAUAGUGAAAGACGGUUUUGCUGUCACUUAUAGAUGGAUCCGCGCCGCAUUAGCUAGUUGGUAAGGUAACGGCUUACCAAGGCAACGAUGCGUAGCCGACCUGAGAGGGUGGUCGGCCACACUGGAACAGGAACACGGCCCGGACUCCUACGGGAGGCAGCAGUAGGGAAUCUUCCGCAAUGGGCGAAAGCCUGACGGAGCAACGCCGAGUGAGGGAUGAAGGUCUUCGGAUCGUAAAACUCUGUUAUUAGGGAAGAACAAAUGUGUAAGUAACUAUGCACGUCUUGACGGUACCUAAUCAGAAAGCCACGGCUAACUACGUG
rnacentral:rRNA from 1 species